GAUGAACGCUGGCGGCGUGCUUAACACAUGCAAGUCGAGCGAGAAGUUUUGAAAAGAUUCUUCGGAUGAAAUUUAAAAUGGAAAGCGGCGGACGGGUGAGUAACGCGUAGGCAACCUACCCCAUACAAAGGGAUAGCAUUUGGAAACGAAUAUUAAUACCUUAUGAAACUUAACUAGUGCAUGCUAGGUAGGUCAAAGAUUUAUCGGUAUGGGAUGGGCCUGCGUCUGAUUAGCUAGUUGGUGAGGUAACGGCUCACCAAGGCGACGAUCAGUAGCCGACCUGAGAGGGUGAACGGCCACAUUGGAACUGAGACACGGUCCAAACUCCUACGGGAGGCAGCAGUGGGGAAGAUUGCACAAUGGGGGAAACCCUGAUGCAGCAACGCCGCGUGAACGAGGAAGGCCUUUGGGUCGUAAAGUUCUGUUCUAGGUGAUGAAAACUGACAGUAACCUAGGAGAAAGCCCCGGCUAACUCCGUG
rnacentral:rRNA from 1 species